rnacentral:lncRNA from 1 species
CUGUGUGCAUGAUCUCCAACUCCACCAGUGUCGUCGAGGUCUUCUCCCGCAUCGACCACAAGUUUGACCUGAUGUACGCCAAGCGCGCCUUCGUCCACUGGUACGUGGGUGAGGGCAUGGAGGAGGGAGAGUUCUCUGAGGCCCGUGAGGAUCUUGCUGCCCUGGAGAAGGACUAUGAAGAAGUUGGUGCUGAGUUUGACGAGGGUGAGGACGGUGACGAGGGCGACGAGUACUAGAGCCUGCCUCCUGGUGCUUUCCCAAGGCAUGCUGCUGCAAUCCUAUGAUCUGCCCGAGUGGCUUUAUCUGUUAUCUGUCUGUUUGAACAUUUGCUUUGUGGUGUUUGUUUUACAACCUGUUGUGUUGUAAGAACCUUGUAUGUUUGAACCUGUUAUGCACCUUGGUUAAUAUGCAUGCUAUCUGGUUAUCUACACCAUAGCCUCUACUGCUCUGUCUCCAUUUUUCUGUUUUAUAAUUUGUGUUGUUGACUUUGUGUUUUUGUUGGUGGCGUUGCCUGGAUGCCUGCUUUAUUCGUGGACUGGAACAAUUAGUUGCAAUUCGUCCGCAUAGAACCGUAGCUGUUCUUAAUGAAGAUCCAAACCUAAUUUGUUCUGUUGUUCCUUGCAGUCAAGUGCUACAGGAGUUGCAACUUGGAAUUGAGAAAUGUUUGCCUGAAAUUUCUCCCAAGAUAAUCACUGACCUAAUUUGAUCUUCUUGUGGUCAUGUGGAAUUCAGGGAAUGUUUGUUGCGUUUGCUAACUAGAGGCCUAAAAUUUAUUCUCCUAUAAACCACGAUUAAAAGAUUCAGUAGUAGCGACAAGCUUAAAAAGCAGCAAGUAUAAAUCACAGGCAAGAAAUAUAUAAAACCUAUAUAAAUUUGUAAGUUCGCAAAUUGUUUGUUUUCUGAUCAACCAUAUCAGACUUGACUCAGAUCGAUAGAUGGCAACAGAAGAUGAUCAAAUAUAUGCCCAAACGACAUGGAAUAGUGCUCAAGCACAAAGCCAGUCUCCAUCAGGGGUCCCAAACGACAUGUAACAGAUUUGCAUUAUAUCAGUCUAGGUCCCAAUAAUUUCUAUCCACUCCCCACACCGCUAGAGCUGCAGCUUCUAUCGGCGUCAAACCCCCAAUUAUUGCCCCGGCGACGCGACGUACGGCGGCCAGCGGAGUGCGGACGGGCGUACGGUGGCGUGGACCGUUGGGGAAGAGUCUCGUUACUCCCCUGUCCAUGCGGUAAUUUUGACCUAAAGAAUUCACAAAGUAAACUGGUUUGAAUGUUUUUUUCACUCAGCUGACCGUUUUGUGUGACGCCCGACACGAAGGCACCACACCCUACUGUGUAACGUCCAGCCCGCAGGCGUUGCACAUCUGUUCAUCGUGGCACCCCUGGGACUCGCACCCCGCAGUGCAGCGCCUGAGAGCCAGGCGCCACACUUGUUAUGUGCAGCGCCUAGCUCUUGGGCGUUGCACAUGCUGUUACUAGUUUGCUGGCUGCCCCCCCUCCCCCACUCCCCCCACACACCCCAUCCCACCUGAGAUUUGCCCUCUCCUCCUCUCUCUCCUCCUCUCAAAUCCUUGUCCAAAUCUUCCAAAUUUGAAGAUUUUGUCCGUGGUAAUCUCCUCGACCCCCUUGUUUUGAUCCAAGAAAAUGCUAACAUUUGCUCACUUGUUGCUAGUUUUGGAAAACCCUAGUUUUUUAUGGAUCUUGCAAUAUGUAUGGAGAUAGAAGAUGUUUGUUUGCCAAUUUCCUAGGAUUGGGGUUGUUAGUAUGUUAGGGUUAGGGUAUUGGUGUUGUUAUGUUGGUGCUAGGGUUAGGGUUAGGGUUGUUAGUAUGCGAGGGUUGUGCUUAUGGUCGUUGUUAAGUGGGGUUAGAUUUAUUGUUUCAUAUCUAUGUUAGAGUUUGUAUUCCGUGUUAAUCUUCGGAUGAGUACUUAUGAAAGAUAUGUUACAUUUUGUUGUUUGAAUGCUUAUAGGGAUGGGAAGAACAUGUGUGUUUGUUCAUCAUGUGGACAAAGACGCCUUUUUGAAAGGCAAUAUUGAACCGGACCCGGAUGAGCUUGACAUGGUGUUUGAUAGUAGUCUAGCUAUGCGGAGGUCUUGGAAGAACUGAGGAAAGAUUUAAAUUGGACGGACCCAAGUGAUGCCGUUGAGUUGGAGGGAAGGCAUAAUGUUGGUUUUGGAAUGCACAUCCGUUGGAAGACAAUGCGUGUGAACUCUGAGCAACGUUGGUUUGCAUACAAGGAGACGGUGGCUGAAUCACUAGACAAGGCUCUUGAGUUAUUUUCUACGAAGAAGGUUGAUUCUAGUGUGCAUUUGGACUUGAACCGGACCCCCCCUUGGUUGCUAGUAGUCCCCCACCCAUGAACCAAUAUGAAAUUGGUGAACCUCCUUUGACACAAGAAGUGAGGCCUACAUGGAGCCCGAUUCCAAACAACCAUAAUGAAGCUUUGCAAGGGAGAAUGAUGAGUAUGAGUACGAUGACAAUGAAGUUGAUCUCCAUGACAACAAUGUGGGUGAUCUCGACAAAUAUCAUGUGCAAGAGACAAUGGACCAUUCCAUCCCUUAUUCCCGUGGCUAUGCAUCAAAUUCGGAUGACGAAGGUCAGGGUGAACAAGUUGAUGAGGGGUUCACGGUGAACGAGGCCAAAUCUUUCGAGAAGGUAUUCGGGCGGGAUCAUCAGACUCCAUUGUUCAAGGAUGUUAGUCUCGUGGAUGAAGCCGUGGUAGAUGGUGGCCAAGGUAUAUCUCUUGGAGUUAGGCCAGGUUCUCACCGGGAUUUGGAAGACGUCAAAACAUGAUUUUUCCCGGGUCUAAGUUCCAAACCUUCUUGGAAUUGAAGAUGUGGCUGGACAACUACUCGGUUACGCAUUAUCGUCCACACAAGGUGGUGAAAUCGGACGUCAAUGUGCGUUACACGGUUGCAUGUGAAGAGAAAAAAUUUCCAUGGAUUGUGCGUGCAAGACCAUGGAAAGGGGGGCCCACUUGGCACGUAGUGAGUUGUGUACCAAGUCACAUGUGCCGAGGCAAGAGGGUGGAUGGGAAGGUUGUGUCCCAAAACCACAGACAACUCACGUCCGAGUUCAUUGUUUACAGGCUUUCCAACUCAAUAUCCACACUUUCAACAAUGAGCAUCCAACAAGUCAUGGACCUUGUGAAAGCCAUCUUUCAUUACAAGGUGAAAUACGGCAAGACAUGGAAGGCGAAGCAAGCCACAUUAAAGAUGUUGUAUGGUAAUUGGGAUGAAGCAUACAACCGAAUCCCUAGGUUGCUGUUAGCCAUGACCGCCACAAACCCAGGCAUGGUUCAUGUGGUCGAGCCUCAUGAAAAAAAACCAAAGGUUCACGAAUGAAGGACCGUCCGAGUACUUGGCCGUGCAUUUUGGGCGUUCUAGCGAUGCGCGAGGGCUUUCGAACACUGUCACCCGGUCAUCGCCAUUGAUGGCACAUUCUUGACUGGACAAUACAAGGGCACCUUGCUGGUUGCAAUAACAAGUGAUGCCAAUAAUCGAGUGUUGCCUUUGACAUUUGCUUUGGUUGAGGUGGAGAACAAUGACAACUGGGAGUGGUUCUUGCGUCUUUUGAGGACCAAGGUGUUACCCGCUCAAAGGAAAAUUUGUGUCAUAUCGGAUCGCCAUCCAGGAAUUCUUAACGCGGUGGACAUUGACAUUCCUGGGCAUGCUCCGUUGCACCAUCGAUGGUGCAUGAGGCACUUUUGUUCUAACUUCUAGAGGGCAUGUGGCCUUAUGGAGUUGACCGAUGAUCUUCAAGAUUGUUGUCUCGCUUUCUCCGACAAGCGGUUCGCCUACUUGUACAACAAAUUGCUUGCACACAAGAAACUUGAUCCCGGGGGUCAAGACUUCCUCAAUAGGCACAUUCAAGAAAGUAAUAAGUGGGCACGUGCUUUUGAUGAAGAUGACCGGAGGUAUGGUCAAAUUUCAAGCAAUAUGGCCGAAUGCUUCAGUAGGGUGCUCAAGGGUGUACGUGCAUUACCCAUGACGACAAUAGUUCAAUACACAUUUGAGAAGAUGAAUGCGUACUUUCUAAAGCACUCAAUGGAAACGGAUGCGCAGAUAGCGGGUGAGAACAAGCGCAAGUACAAGUACAGGUUCCCACCCAAGGUCCAUGCUUCCCCACACAACACCACUCCUCGACGGCGUUGACCGAGAUCGGAGCUGAGGCGCGGCGGUCGGUGGAGUGUAGAUGGCGGCGGCUCUAGGCUUAGCGGCCGCGCUCCUCGGCAAGGUGUUCCGAUGCUAUCCGCUGUCCCGGUGGCGACUUACGUGGACAACCUCAAGCUCGUCCACAACUCCGAGAAGAUCAAGGCCAAGCUCGCGCACACGCGAGGCUUGCUGCACAACGCCCAGGUGAGCGACGCCGGCCAAAACCCUGGACUGCAGGACUUGCUGCCAGCGCUGAGUAGGAGCGCCGACCAGGCGGAGGACCUGUUGGAUGAGGUCCACUACUUCCAGAUCCAUGACAAGCACCACGACACAAGCUACGCCACCACCCAGGCCAAUUUUCUCCAUCAUGGUCGCAAUGCUCUCCGGCACACUACCACUAGCUGGGCCGCAUGAUUUUCUUGUUCGUCUGCCCAAAAUCAUGAUGAUAAGUUAUGUUUCCACCCAAUGAUCUUCUCUAGGAAAAUCAAGUCGGUGUUAUAGGACAUGCAGACCCAUUGCGAUUCCAUCUCUGAUUUGCUUGGCAAUAUCCCAAGCAGCAGCAUGGCAGUCACCCUACACCGGGCUCAGAUUGGAUCCACAAUUAUACAAGAUACAUUAUAUGGUAGGAGACACACUGUCGGUGUUCAAACCGGCGGAUCUCGGGUAGGGGGUCACGAACUGUGCGUCUAGGCGGAUGGUAACAGGAGACAAGGGACACGAUGUUUUACCCAGGUUCGGGCCCUCUUGAUGGAGGUAAAACCCUACGUCCUGCUUGAUUAAUAUUGAUGAUGUGUGUUACAAGAGUAGAUCUACCACGAGAUCAAGGAGGCUAAACCCUAGAAGCUAGCCUAUGGUAUGAUUGUUGUUCGUCCUAUGGACUAAAGCCAUCCGGUUUAUAUAGACACCGGAGGGGGCUAGGGUUACACAGAGUCGGUUACAAUGGUAGGAGAUCUACAUAUCCGUAUCGCCAAGCUUGCCUUCCACGCCAAGGAAAGUCCCAUCUGGACACGGGACGAAGUCUUCAAUCUUGUAUCUUCAUAGUCUUGGAGUCCGGCCGAUCAUGAUAGUUCGGCUAUCCGGAUACCCCCUAGUCCGGAACUCCCUCAGUAGCCCCUGAACUAGGCUUCAAUGACGACGAGUCCGGCGCGCAUGUUGUCUUCGGCAUUGCAAGGCGGGUUCUUCCUCCGAAUAAUUUAUAGAAGAUUGUGAACACCAGGAUAGUGUCCGAUCUGCAAAAAUAAAUUCCAUGUACCACCAUAGAGAGAAUAAUAUUACACUAGUUCAAUCUGCUGACGUAUUUUGUGGCAUGACGUCACACCAUUACCAAGCCUUUACUCGAAUUGUUUUUAUUGUAUCACCUCAGCGCGUUUAGCGAGGCGGUUUCCUUGGCACGUCUUGUCGAAGCAGAGAUUGUGUUCCUCUUAUUCUGGGAUUCCCAUCAAUACGGACGUGGGUAACCCAACCGCGCCAUUGAUUGUGACGCUUGGGAGAUAAGCGAGUUUUACCAGGCUGGUGGGGACACAUGUUUUUGUCCGCCCAUAUAAGGGGAUAAAGAUCCAACCCUUUUACCUGCGCCUUCUUCCUCCUUGGCUUAUCCAUCUCCGCGAACUCGAGCUCCAGCGCCCAAGUCCGCACUUCUCACCUCAACCUUCUCCAACUAUGUCCGGAGCGGGAGGCAAGUGGAUGGCCUCCUCCGUCACGGAGGGGCAGAUCCAGAAGCUGCGCGACGCCGGAUAUUUGUCCAGCGACAUCGCGCAUCGGCUCCCCAACGAGGGAGAGCUCAUCCCCACCCCCAGGCCCCAUGAGAGGGUAGUAUUUCUUCCCCAUUUCCUCCGCGGACUGGGAUUCCCACUUCAUCCCUUUGUCCGGGGGCUCAUGUUCUACUACGGCCUAGAUUUCCAUGAUCUGGCCCCGAAUUUCAUCCUCAACAUCUCGGCGUUUAUCAUCGUGUGUGAGGCCUUCCUCUGCAUCCAUCCCCACUUCGGCUUGUGGCUCAAGACCUUCAGUGUCAAGCCGAAGGUUGUGAAGGGCAGCCAAGCGGAGUGCAGAGGCGCCAUGGUGGGCAGGAUGUCCCACGUUACGUGGCUGGAGGGCACUUUCGUGGAAACCAUCAAGGGGUGGCAAUCGGGGUGGUUCUACAUCACCGAGCCGCGUGACCCUGAUUGGGCAGCGGCCCCCGAAUUCAGAUCCGGCAUCCCUACACGGCUCACCUCCUGGAAAGAGAGUGACCGGAUCUGGGGCGAUUUGGAGGAGCUGACCAGACUCCAAGCCUGCAUCCAAAAGCUGGUGGACAAGAAGCUCAAGCUUGUCAACGUAGUCCAGGUCAUGCUCAUCCGCCGGAUUCUCCCGUGCCAACGACGGGGCUUCAACAUGUGGGAGUUCGAUCCGGCGCAGCACCAGACCCUGAGCGGGUUCUUCGACACUACGUACGAAGAUGUCUGGAAGGUGCUGUUCAAAGGCGCCGAGGCUCCCGCAUCCGCUACCGAAGAUCGCGGAUUCCGCUCGCAGCGUCCAGCUGACGAGGUAAGUGAUUUUGUCACUUGUUCUCCAUAGUUUGACUCUAUGUGGGAUCUAAACUCCCUUUACCUUUGACAGGAAUGGCUGGCGAAGGCCGAACGGACUAUCUGUCCGGCCCCAUUGCCAGAGGACCCAGCGGACGCCCGCCUAACGGGGCUGCUGGCUCCGGCACCCCACGUGGUGCCGGAGAAGAAGGCCAAGAAGAAGGCCACGGGGACUCGGAAGAGUUCCCGUUUUCAGGUGCUAUCGGAUGAUGAAUCCGAGGCCGACUCCUCCCACCAAGGCGAGGAGGAGAAGAAGAAAGCAUCUCCCCCAGCGGGGGGAGGGAAGAAAAGGAAGGCCUCCCCAACAAGGGAGGCCGAAGGGUCCAAGAAGGGAAAAACUCUUCCCCCGGACUGCUCCGCCAACGCCAGUGACGACGACGAGGACUGGCCUCCAAGGGCCAAGCCCCUGGCGAGAUCGUAAGUAUCCGGACUCCCGAAUAACUUCAAGGUUUUUAUUUUUCGCCACAUAAUGUCUUUCUAAUGCCGCAUACAACCCUGCAGUCUGCCUAAGGAUGAUCUUCCCGCUUCGUCGAGCGGGUCCUUAGGUGCGUCGGAUAUGGAUUCUCUUCCGAAGGCCUCCACCCCCCGUGAUGCAGAUGAUGCCGAGGUGGGAUCCCAGGAAGGGACCCACAAGGAGGAGGAGGCCCCGGGGGUGUCGCAGGAAAACCUCCCGGACUUUGCACCGGACUCGGCCCCGGAACCCAUAGUGGCUCCGGAGUCCGGAGGACGACCCCUUCGUAAGAAGGGCAAGACCGUGACGCCGGCAGCCUCCAUCCAACCGGAGGCGCCAGAUAACUUGCUGGAGGCGCUCAAUGGCGCCUCCAUUGAAGAGGAACACCGCACUGUUAUGAGUGCGGUGAUUCAGAAGGUUCAGCUCGCCAAGAGCGGGCUGGCCGAAGCCUACAGCAGCCUUCUAACAGGCUUUGAGGUAAGAAUUUCAAUAUGUAUAAAAUGGUACCGCAUAGACAGUAGCCCCUUAUGCUCGGUUCGGUGUUCGGAAAGAAAAGCCGGACUGAGGAUUUAAAAAGAUAUACGCAUGAGUCAUAAUAAAUAUGUCAAUAUGGGAUUGCAGGCUGCGCUGCUGACCUGUGCCGCACUGACUGCGGAGGUCAAUACGUUGAAGGAAAGCCUCGAGCGGUCCGAGAACGAGCUCGGCCGUGCCAAGAAGCAGCUCGAGGACAAGGAAGGUGAGUAACACCUUACUAAAAUUGUACCUUACAGAAAAGGAUUUUGGUUGCAAAAAGAAUGACAAGGAUAAUGUGGGUAUUGCAGGGGCCACUAACGAGGUGGCGACCCUGAAAGAGGCGGUGGCCGUAGCUGAACGCAAUGCGGCUGCGGAGCGCACCGAGCGAGAGAAGCAGGAGGCGCGGGUGGCGGAGGUACAACAAGAGCUCCAGGAUCUCGUGAAAAAACAUGAGAGCCUGGAGCGUGACUCGAAGACUCGAGAGUCUGAGCUUGCAACGACUCUUGAGAGUGCCAAGGCCGCUAAGGCCGAAGCCUACAGGGCCCUCCAGGAGAUUGAGGCGGUGAAGAAAAUAGCAGUGGGUAAGGCAUUUUUCAUGCAAAUUAAGCAUGUGAGUGUUAAUUACCUGUUGCUUACCCGAAUUCGGAGCUCUCCAGGAGCGUUCGCAGAUCUUCCUUGCAGCGUGUCUGAUGCUGCCGCAUUCUACCGGGCCGAGGAGGGGAGCUCGACGGAGAAGGUCUUCUGGUCUCAGUAUGCUGAGGCCGGACAUCCGGUGCCCCUUAGCGACCAGCUGAAGCAGCUGGUCGAGCUCCACAAGGCGGCCAAACAGGCUAUGAAGGGCCUCAUAGUUCAGCUGUGGCCUAAGGAGGCCAUGCCUGGGAGCUACUUCGGCCUGGUGCGGCGGCUGGUCGAUGCGUGCCCGUGGGUUGAAGUCAUCAAGCACUCCGCCUGUAUUGAGGGUGCCCGUCGGGCCCUUGCCCGUGCAAAGGUGCACUGGGGCAAGAUGGAUGCCUAGAAGCUUGUGACGGACCCGCCACCAGAGGGCAAGGAGCAUCGCACGCCCGAGAUGUAUUAUAAGAGUGUGCUGAAGGGCGCCCGCACUAUUGCGGGGGAGUGCUCCAAAGAUGUAAUUUGUGAGUAGACUCGCAUUUUGUUAUCCUGUGCGCUGAAAACUUAGUUCAUAUGCGCUAAGCAACGCUUGUUAAUUUAAAAUAUUACCUUCUGUGCGGCUGUUUAUCAAAUCUGAGAGAUGGCAAGUCGUCGGCUUCAGCCCCCAUGCCACGAGUGCUGGGGUGUUCGGGAUAAACUUGAGCACUCUUGUUCCCAUUUUUGGGUCCAUCUAGGGAGGCGCUCAACACAGCGAACAAGGCAACCGGACUUAUAAUGCUUGCACACUCUCACUUAGCCAUAGAAUUCUAUAAUUUUAAAUUUCGGUGAAGCCCCUAGUCUUCGGAAGGCCGAAUUUGGGGCGCUAUCCACGCCUGGGCCGGACAAGAUCCGGCUCCUCGCUCUAAGCGGCAUAAGUCUUUAAGGACUCGCAAAAAACCUCUCGAACAGCGACCGGCUCUCGCCUCAUCAUGACGGUCAGUUUUAGCUUUCUCCACUGAGGCGUUAACCCAGCUCAACCGGGGCGCAAUUGUAGUGGUUCUCCCAGUGCUACCUUAGCCGAUACAACGGAACGUAAGGUACCAAAACAUGGGAGCCGGGCAAACCCAACUAUUGACCCAAGACAUGAUUCGGAGCCGAUGCAUAUAGUGCUAUAAGUUCGGGGUGCCGCACUUGUGAAAGUGUUCGGACUUAUCACACCAUGAUGCGGGAAACAUAAGCCCCUGGUGUAUUUUAGCCGUACCAAAGUGUACGGAUGCAACAUGCCGUAAAUGAACAUAUGUAUAAAAAAGGAAAUGCAAUUAUAAGCGAAAAGGUGCUGCAUUGUUUAUUUAAGAAAGACUGCCAUAAGUGCAGAACAAUACAAAUGGUGCGAUAAGCAAGGGAUGGGACUGUUAAACAUGUCCCCCUCCAGGGGUAGGCUGUCGAAUGGUGCGUAAAACAGAUUUAAUGCUAGUAAUGGAGACCACCUGGAUAUUCGUUGUAGCCUUUAUCCUUCCCUGGCUGUUGCAUCGUUAGUUCAGCAGGUCUGCUGCCGGACAGGGCCUCUGACGAACGGAGUCCUGUGGGUAAAAAAGGAAAAAGAAAAGAAAAAAGAACGACACACUUGAGAGCCCCUGGUGUGCUUGAGCCCCAGUCUGGGCUUAUCGUGGUCGUGCCCCUCUCCUCAUGCCCAUGGUAUCUUCAGAGCGUAAUGGUGUACGCGAAGGACCUGUUUUGACGUUUUACAGGGGCUGGGGUUGGGGCUGUACUGCUACGCGUGCUCGGAACAUGCCAGGUGGUCUUGUUGUAGGUUACUCCGGGCGCGCUUAGCUGUGUCCGGCCGCUUAACGUCCGGACUCGAGAAUUUGCCUUAAGAAGCUGCAUUGUACUUCUGCCACGAGAGCCGCUGUAUGUUCCUCCGUUCGGAGAGAACGUUCAGUGUUUCCGUUGACCGUGAUGACUCCUCGAGGGCCUGGCAUCUUGAGCUUGAGGUAUGCGUAGUGCGGCACCGCGUUGAACUUUGCAUACGCGGUUCGUCCGAGCAGGGUGUGAUAGCCGCUGCGGAAUGGAACUAUGUCAAAGAUUAACUCCUCGCUUCGGAAGUUAUCCGGGGAUCCGAAGACCACUUCCAGUGUGACUGAGCCUGUACCAUUGGCUUCUACACCUGGUAUGACGCCUUUAAAGGUCGUCUUGGUAUGUUUAAUCCUUGAGGGGUCUAUGCCCAUUUUGCGCACUGUAUCCUGAUAAAGUAGGUUCAGGCUGCUGCCACCGUCCAUCAGGACUCUGGUGAGGUCAAAUCCAUCGACGAUUGGGUCUAGGACCAAUGCGGCGAAUCCGCCGUGCGGAUGCUGGUGGGGUGGUCCCUUCGGUCAAAAGUGAUCGGGCAGGAGGACCAUGGAUUGAACUUCGGGGCAACUGGCUCCAUCGCGUAUACAUCGCUUAGCGCACGCUUCCGCUCCCUUUUGGGUAUGUGCGUUGCAUAUAUCAUGUUCACCGUCCGCACCUGUGGGGGGAAUCCCUUCUGUCCUCUAUUGUUCGGCGGUCGGGUCUCUUCCUCGUCAUCGCUAUGCAGCCCCUUGUCACUGUUUUCGGCAAUUAACUUGCCUGCCUGCUUGAAUACCCAACAGUCCCUAUUGGUGUGGUUAGCUGGCUUUUCGGGGGUGCCGUGUAUCUGGCACAAGCGGUCGAGUAUUCGGUCCAAAUUGGACAGACCUGGAGCAGUUCUUUUGAAUGGCUUUUUCCGCUGACCGGGUUUAGAGCCUCUGAAUCCGGCAUUGACUGCCGUAUCCUCACUAUUGUCGCCGUUGAUGUGGCGUUUGCUUUUGUUACGACGCGACCUGCCAUUUCGGUCCUUGAAAUCCGGACUGCCAGAAUUUUUGCUGAGGUUGUUGCUGCAUGCUAGCAAGCUGUCCUCACCCACGCAGAAGCGGGUCAUGAGUGAUGUAAGGGCUGCCAUGGAUUUCGGCUUUUCCUGUCCCAAGUGCCGGGCAAGCCACUCGUCGCAGAUGUUAUGCUUGAAGGCCGCGAGGGCCUCCGCAUCCGGACAAUCGACGAUUUGGUUUUUCUUGGUUAAGAACCGUGUCCAGAAUUGUCUGGCCGAUUCGUCUGGCUGCUGAAUUAUGUGGCUUAGGUCAUCAGCGUCUGGUGGUCGCACAUACGUGCCUUGGAAGUUAUCGAGGAAUGCGGCUUCUAGGUCUUCCCAACUCCCAAUUGACUCUGCUGGCAAGCUGUUAAGCCAAUGCCGGGCUGGUCCUUUAAGCUUGAGGGGGAGAUAUUUGAUGGCGUGAAAAUCGUCACCGCGGGCCAUGUGGAUGUGAAGAAGAUAUUCUUCGAUCCAAACCGUGGGGUCUGUUGUGCCAUCGUAAGAUUCGAUAUCCACGGGUUUAAACCCUUUGGGGAUUUGAUGAUCCAUUACUUCAUCUGUGAAGCAUAGUGGGUGUGCGGCGCCUCUGUACUGGGCGAUAUCAUGACGGAGCUCAAAAGAGCUUUGUCUGUUUUGUUCGGCCCGACCGGACUUACUGUGUCCGGCGCGACGGUUGUCGUCACGUACCGUGGGGCGCCCACGCGAUCCAUAGAUCGAUCUUGAUUGUCUUGCCUUAUCCUCCAAUAUAUCUCGCAAGUCCGGAGCGUUCCCCUAUGGCCUUGUGCUUUUCGAGCGAUGCCGGGGUACGGGUCUAGUGAAGGGCCUAGAGGCCUCUCUGUCGCGACCACGGGGUGGUCGGUCAGCCGUAUUGUCUCCUGGUGAUGCGGGUUCAUACACUUCCUCCUCUAAUCGAGGGAGCAGCUUGCGUUUAGGGUAGCUUUUGGAUGGGCGUUCGAGCUCAUGCUCUUCGGCCGCGAGGACUUCAGUCCAUCUGUCGGCUAGCAGAUCUUGAUCAGCUCUAAGCUGUUGCUGCUUUUUCUUGAGGCUGUUCGCCGUGGCCAUAAGCCUGCGUUUAAAACGCUCUUGUUCGACGGGAUCCUCAGGCACGACGAAUUCAUCGUCGUCGAGGCUUGCUUCGUCUCCGGAGGGAGGCAUAUAAUCCUCUACCUCUUCUUCUAUCGCUCUCUCAUGAGGGCUAGCGUCUCCAUCCUCCUGCGCUGGAUCUUGCUGGAGUGGGUUGUCUUCGGCACUGUCCGGUGUAUUGUUAUCUCCGAUGCCGGAAUCUUCAUUCUUGCUGUGGCGGGAUUUAGAGCGGCGCCGCUGACGCUGGCGCUUGGGCUGUUUCUUGGAGGGGUCAUCCUCCUCUGUUCCUUCGUCAUUCCCAUCCUUUGGGAUAUCCACCAUGUAUAUGUCAUAUGAUGAGGUGGCUUUCCAGUGCCCGGUCGGCGCUGGUUCUUGGUCGUCUCCGGCAUCGUCGUCCAUACCGUCGAUGUCUUCGGAGUCGUAGUCUAGCAUGUCGGUUAGAUCGUCGACAGCGGCUACCAAGUGGGUGGUGGGUGGGCUUUGAAUUUCUUCGUCGUCCGCAUCCCAACCGUCCUGACCGCAGUCCGGCCAGGGCUCUCAUGAUAACGAGAGAUACUUUAGCGAACUCAAGAUGUCGCCAAAAGGUGAGUGUUGAAAGAUGUCCGCUGCUGUGAACUCCAUGAUCCGCGCCCAAUCGGAUUCGAUCGGAGGAGGCGCGGGAGGUUUGGAGUCCUACGAGGAGUCCGGCACCUCGGAGUCACGAGCUUUAUGAGGGACAAGGUCAGUGUUCGGCUCUAUCGCCGUAGAGGUUGCAGCCCUCGAGGCGGCGUCUAGCCAUCCGUCCUCGAUCUGCGCGGCCGGCUCCGAAUUGAAGAUCGGAGCGGGUUCGAGUGCGGCCUCCAGGGUACUGUUUGGUUGCAGAGCUAAAUCAUGCUCGCCGUGACGGUGCGGCACGCUCGGCGGUGGCUCGAAUCCGUCGAGGAUCAAGUCCCCGUGGAUGUCAGCCGUGUAGUUCAAACUUCCAAAUCUGACCUGACGGCCAGGGGCGUAGCUUUCGAUCUGCUCCAGAUGGCCAAGUGAAUUGGCCCGCAGUGCAAAGCCGCCGAAUACGAAGAUCUGUCCGGGGAGAAAGGUCUCACCCUGGACUGCAUCGUUGAUGAUGGUCGAAGAAGCCAUCGAGCCUAUCGGUGACGACACAGAGGAACUCUCAAUGAAAGCACCAAUGUCGGUGUCAAAACCGGCGGAUCUCGGGUAGGGGGUCCCGAACUGUGCGUCUAGGUGGAUGGUAACAGGAGACAAGGGACACGAUGUUUUACCCAGGUUCGGGCCCUCUUGAUGGAGGUAAAACCCUACGUCCUGCUUGAUUAAUAUUGAUGAUGUGUGUUACAAGAGUAGAUCUACCACGAGAUCAAGGAGGCUAAACCCUAGAAGCUAGCCUAUGGUAUGAUUGUUGUUCGUCCUAUGGACUAAAGCCAUCCAGUUUAUAUAGACACCGGAGGGGGCUAGGGUUACACAGAGUCGGUUACAAUGGUAGGAGAUCUACAUAUCCGUAUCGCCAAGCUUGCCUUCCACGCCAAGGAAAGUCCCAUCCGGACACGGGACGAAGUCUUCAAUCUUGUAUCUUCAUAGUCUUGGAGUCCGGCCGAUCAUGAUAGUUCGGCUAUCCGGACACCCCCUAGUCCGGAACUCCCUCACACACUUUUGAGGAAACUGUCAGCCGUGUCAUCAUCUGCGAAAAUACCGUUUCUGUUCUUCCUAUAGUUUGUCCGGGGGGUAUUGGGAAAACAACUUUCACCCAACACCUCUAUAAUGAUGCAAGGCUGCAUAGUGAUACUAGGGAUGGAAAUUAUUUUGAUGUCAGUGUCUGGGUAUGUGUAUCGACUGAAUUCAAUGUGCUUAAGCUCACCAGGGAGAUCCUUGGCUGCAUACCAGAACAAAAAGGAAGCAACGGUGUUGCAAAUGAAACAACCAAUUUAGACCAGCUUCAGAAAUCCAUAGCACACCGUAUCAAGUCUUAAAGGUUUCUAAUUGUCUUGUAUGAUAUAUGGAAAUGUGAUGGUAAGGAUCAGUGGAAGACAAUGCUAGUUCCGUUCACAAAGGGGGAAACCAAAGGAAGCAUGGUACUUGUCACAACUCGAUUCCCGAAGGUAGCAAGCAUGGCGAAAACAUUGAUCCAUUAGAGCUGCGAGGUUUGGAGUCUUAUGACUUCUUCACAUUCUUUGAAGCAUGUAUAUUUGGUGAUCACAAGUCUGAGCAUUACAAAUAUGAGUUAGCCGGUAUUGCAGGAAAAAUUGCAAAUAAUCUAAAGGGUUCCCCACUAACAUCCAAAACAGUUGGUGGACUAUUGCACAAGGACCUAUCCCAGGAACAUUGGAAUGAAGUUCUUAAAAACAUGAGUGGUUGAUGAUGAGAUCAUGCCAUCUUUAAAAAUUAACUAUGAUCAGCUCCCUUCUGAGCAGAUAAGCUAAAGGGUUCCCGAGUCGCCGCCGAACCCCCUCACCGUCCACACCGAUGGGAGGGGAUAUGGGCGACGCCCUCCCUCCCCUGGACCCCUUGCUCCACUCCUACUCACCUCCCUUGCUCCUCUCCAAUCCCCCUUUGUCCUCUCCGUCGAGGGGGAGAAGCCCCGAGCCCACUGUCGCUGCCCGCCGUUGUCCACCGCAGCGACCGCCUCUCCCGUGCUCCUCUGACUGGUCCAAUGCCUCUGUCGUCAUCCGCCGCUACUGCUACGUCAACUCACGCGAGACAAGGAGCCUCCUAGCGCCGGAUCGCCCUGCCUUUCUCCCUCGGCUCGACGUCGGCGACCUCCUUCCACUCCGGUCAGCCUGCGGCUCCUAAAUUGUCACUGGGCCUAUGUGUGCCUCCUCGGUGAGCUCCGCAUGUUUCCUCUCUGCCUUCCCUUCGCCUUGUUGCCUCUAGCUGCCCCUGCUUCCAUGCCCCGAGCUCCGCUCCGCCGGCCAUGUCGUGCUCACGGCUUCGGCCAUUGAAACCCGCGUCCGAGCGUGUCACCGAGUUUGUUGGGUCCUCAGGAACACGUAGCGCUUGCUCUUUUGCCGAGCCAUGUAGUAUAGCGGUGUCGCCGUUCGCGUGUGCUCUGGCCGCUACUCGGCCUUGCUGCUGUCACUGAUUCUGCCCGUGUUCGGUGCGGGCGCUUGCGCAGAUCGACGCAGCCUGGCACGCUCAGCCGAAUUGAGCUCGCCCUGCUCCGUUUGCUCGCCUGUGCGGCGAUCCCGAGCGUCACUGCCAUCUCGGGUGGUUGCCUGAGACCACCAGUGCACGUCCGGCGUCCAAAACCGGCGAUGGGUCACUACCAUGUGGGCCCACUCGUUGGGGUUUAGAUUAGGGCGCUAACCCCUGCCUAACACUAACCCACUCCCCUAACUGCUUGUGAAACCCUGGUUUUUGCCCUUUUUCCUUUUCUAGGUUUUAUUGCAUUUUGAAUUGAAUUUGAGUUUUUGAAUCAACUCAUUUGGGCUUCAUCACUUGGGCAUUUCCUUGAUUUUCACCCAAGUGACUCAUCUCACCUCCAAAUCCAUCCCUUGCCCUCUGAUAUACCCAAAUAUAACCUUGGGAAAUUUUCUCUCUGAAUUAGCACUUCAGUCCCUUCUACUCUAUAACAACCCUCAUUUUUCUUACUCAUAAAAAUCUGAGAAAAUUCCUCAAAAUUCUUUGGACCUUGGAACAACUCCCUGUGCAAAAAUAUUUCAUGGUUAUUUGGAAUAUUUUUGCUAUAGAAAAUCUUUUCCAUUCUGGUCAGAAAAUGCAUGUUGUGAAGGGAGUGCAUUUUUGCUUGAUCCUAUGGAGCUGAAAUUUUUAGGGCUUCAUUACCUUCUAACAAAACCUUAACUCCCAAAUAUCAGCACUAAACUCCUUCUGGAACCUAUCCAAACUUUGCUCACAAGUUUCUGUCCAAAAACUUGCUCCUUCUCUCCUGUUCAUCUUGGUCGGCCUGGAAGUAUGCCAUUUAUAUCCUGGACCCCCCUAUGCAUGAACUACAUGCCAGACAUACUUUGCACAGCCCAGGCCAUGUGAUGCCAGAGUUCACAUGGUGACCACGCGAGGACAAGGCCCUUGGCAUGCGGUCGACACACUCUACGUCGCGCCAGCGCCUCUGUUUCGCUCAUGCCCACGUCAGAGCUCGCAUCAGCCUACCGCACCGCACCACCACCCUUGACUCAUCGCCCUUGACCCCUCCCUGCCACUCGUUGACAUUGGAGUUUGUUGCAGCGAGCACAGGCACGACGAGGCCAAGUGCACAGUGCGCCUGUGCCCCUGUGCUCAUCUCCACCCGCGUCCUAUGCUCGUCCGCAUCCUCCCAUAGUGGACGCGUGAUCCAUGGAGUCUUCCCCCUCUCCCACUGGCGCUAGCCGAUGCCGAGUGAUGACCCACAAGUAUAGGGGAUCUAUCAUAGUCCUUUCGAUAAGUAAGAGUGUCGAACCCAACGAGGAGCAGAAGGAAAUGACAAGCGGUUUUUAGUAAGGUAUUCUCUGCAAGCACUGAAAUUAUCAGUAACAGAUAGUUUGUGAUAAGGUAAUUUGUAACGGGUAACAAGUAAUAAAAGUAAACAAGGUGCAGCAAGGUGGCCCAAUCCCUUUUGUAGCAAAGGAUAAGCCUGGAUGAACUCUUAUAUAAAGGAAAGCGCUCCCGAGGACACAUGGGAAUUAUCAUCAAGCUAGUUUUCAUCAUGCUCAUAUGAUUCGCAUUCGUUACUUUGAUGAUUUGAUAUGUGGGUGGACCGGUGCUUGGGUGCUGCCCUUCCUUGGACAAGCAUCCCACUUAUGAUUAACUACUCUCGCAAGCAUCCGCAACUACGAAAUAAGAAUUAAGGUAAACAUAACCAUAGCAUGAAACAUGUGGGACCACCAUCAUCCACUGCCGGACUAAUUUCCUUCAGCUGUAAUGAUUUUGCAUUGUGAAGUCAAACCGAUAAGAAAAAGGAAUAAAAUUCGCUCUUCAGAACUCAUUCAUGCAUGAUACUGACAAACACUACUCGGAUGAAAGGCAAACACAUGAUGCGAGGAUGGAAUAUGUAUGAAAAACAGGAUGGUGUGACAUAUUCACACCUAUUAUGUGGUAACUAAGCAGAAGACAUUUCAACAAAUUAGAAGCACUGCAAGCUAGACACCAUAUGAAAGAUGCAACCAAUAUCACCCUGCCAAGUUCAAACUGUAUGUCAUUUCAACUAAUUAGAAGCAGUACAUGCUAGAAAUCAUAUGCAAGACAAACCAAUAUCAUAGUGGCGACUUAAAGGUGCCUUAUCAUAAGUGACUGAUGUGGGAUAUGCAAGAAUAGUAGUCUGAUGUAGAAACAGGAACACAUGUCAUAUUCACAGGCAUUAUGUGUAAAGUAAGCAGAUGCAAUUCAACAAAGUUAGAAGCAAUACAAGCUAGACAUCAUACGCAACAUGCAACCACAUAUAAUAGUGCCAAGUUAGAGCAAGCACCUGUGAUGGUGGAGUAGGGGAGAUGUGCUCAUCAUCUACAAAGCUAUGUUGACUAUCUAGCCUUGCAUUGUCUUGCGAAUCUUGUUGGGAGGAUGGCGGAGUAGAAUCUUUAGAGAACCUCUGUUUCAGUUGCUCGGAAGCACCACCAUCAUCCAAUGCCUUGCCAAUUUCCUUCAGCUUUAUUGAUUUUGCAUUGUGAGGUCAUACCGACAAGAAAAAGGAAUAUCAUUUGCUCUUCAGAACUCAUUCAUGCAUGAUACUGACGAACACUACUCUAAUGAAAGGCAAAGUCAUGAUACGAGGAUGGAAUAUGUACGAAAAAAUGGAUGGCUUGACAUAUUCACACCUAUGAUGUGGUAACUAAGCAGAAGGCACUUCAACAAAUUAGAAACACUGCAAGACACCAUAUGGAAGGUGCAAUCAAUAUCACUCUGCCAAGUUAAAACUGUCUCGUCAUAGGUGGCGUUCAUCAAACUAGAAGCAAUACAUGCUAGAAAUCAUAUUCAAGACGCAAACCAAUAUCACACUGCCAACUUAAAGGUGUCCCAUCAUAAGUGACUGAUGCAGGAUACACAAGAAGAGUAGUUUCAUGUAAGAACAUCGUGUGAUAGGCAGAUAUAGUAUGUACCAAAAACAGGAAAGCGUGUCAUAUUCACAUGUAUCAUGUGUAAGCUAAGCAGAUGCAGUUUACACUAAUUAGGAGCAAUACGAGCUAGACACCAUAUGCAACAUGCAACCAGAUAUCACACUGCCAAGUUAGAGCAAGCACCUUGGAUGGUGGAGUAGGGGAGCAGAGACUUGGACUUUGUAAUGCACUAUCAGUACAAGGAGAAUCGGUACAGAUGCUCCGUUUACAUUGCUGCAGAGGACCACCAUCAUCGCCUUCCUUAAUCUUUUCCUUCAUCUUUCUUGAUUUUGCCUUGUCAAGUCAAAUCCACAAGAAAAAGGAAUAAAAUUUGCUCUUCAGAACUCAUUGAUGCAUGAUACUGACGAACACUACUUUCAUGUAAGGCAGCCGCAUGAUAGGAGGAUGGAAUAUGUAUGAAAAACAAGACGGCGUGACAUAUUGACAUGUAUGAUGUAUAAAGUGUAAACUAAGCACAAGGUGCUUGAACUUGUUAGAAUCGUGCAAGCUAGAAACCAUAUGAAAGAUGAAACCAAUAUCACUCUGCCAAAUUAAAAGGGUGCCCUAAGAAAUGUAUUUGAUCAAAUCAGAAGCAAUACAUGGCAAUAGGCUAGAAAUAAUAUGCAAUAUGCAACGAAUAAAGGUGACUCAUCGUAAGUGAUUGAUGCAGGAUACAGAAGAGAGGUAGUUUCAUGUAAGAACAAGGUUAACACAUAGAUGCAGUGUGUACCAAAAAUAGGAAGGCAUGUCAUAUUCACAGGUAUAGUGUGUAAACUAAGCAGAUGCAAUUUACCCUAAUUAGAAGCAUUACAAGCUAGACACCAUAUGCAACAUGCAACCACAUAUCACACUGCGAAGUUAAAGCAAGCACCUAUGAUGGUGGUGUAGGGGAAGUGCGGUCUUCAGGUACAGAGCUACGUUCAAUAUCUUCAUUUAGGCUUGCUGUUUCUUGAGAAUCAUGUGGAGAGGAUGAAAUUGCAUUCUUUAUAAGAGUAUUGCGUCUCAUAUUAACCCACGCGCGUGACUGUCUCAUCAUAAGCGAUAGAUGCAUGAUACACAAGAACAAUAGUUUGAUGUAAGAACAUGGUGUGAUAGGCAGAUGUAGUAUGUACCAAAAACAGGAAGGCAUGUCAUAUUCACAUGUAUAAUGUGUAAGCUAAGGAGAUGCAAUUUAACAAAUUAGGAGCAUUGAUGAGGGAUACACAAGAAAAGUAGUUUGAUGUAAGAACAUGGUUAAUAGAAAGACGUAGUAUGUACCAAAAAUAGGAAGGCAUGUCAUAUUCACAGGUAUAAUGUGUUAACUAAGCAGAUGCAAUUUACCCUAAUUAGAAGCAUUACAAGGUAGACACCAUAUGCAACACGCAACCACAUAUCACACUGCCAAGUAAGAGCAAGCACCUGCGAUGGUGGUGUGGGGGAAUUGCGAUGAUCAACUAGAGAGCUACGUUGACUAUCUUCAUUUAGCCUUGCUGUUUCUUGAGAAUCAUGUGGGGAGGAUGACACUGCACUCUUUAAACGAGUAGGGUGUCUCACAGUAACCCACCCGGGUGACUGUCUCAUCAUCAGUGAUUGACGAGGGAUACAAAAGAGCAUUAGUUUGAUGUACGAACAUGGUUAAUAGACAUAUGUAGUAUGUAUCAAAAACAGGAAGGCAUGUCAUUUUGAAAGGUAUAAUGUGUAAAGUAAGCAGAUGCAAUUUAACCAAAUUGGAAGCAAUACAAGCUAGACACCAUAUGCAACAUGCAACCACAUUUGACAGCACGAAGUUAAAGCAAGCACAUGGGAUGGUUGUGUGUGGCAAUUGAGAUCAUCAACUGCAGAGCUAUGUUUACUGUCUCCAACUGCUGACACUACACCCAUUAGAGUGCUGAAACGCUUAGUGCUUAUCUUCAAAUUACACUGGAGCGACUUCUGUCUUUUCUUUUCUUCAUUCAUCAACAUUGCGUCAGAGUCUGAAAUACCCAUGCAUAAAAAAACAAUAGUGUGAGUAUGGGUGAAGUGUGUGCACAAUUAGUACAGUGUAAAGGUAGCAGAUAGCAGGUCGGUGAGAAAUAAAUGACGGGAGACAUAUGAUAGCUCUACAACAUGCAUGUCACACUAAAUUACUACAUGAUUCUAUGAAAAUAACAGUCGAUUGAAAGCAAAUAGGUCAGUCCAUUUUUUCUGCAUCGUCCGAUCUACAAAGAACGGGCAAAUCGCCUUCAUCUACCUCCAGCCAGUCAGUGUUGAUGAUCUUCCUCGAAACGCCAGCGACCAUCGGCCCAGUAUUCUUCCCCUGCCUGCGCCCUCCCCUCGACCUCACCGCACCGCCGUGCUUGGCACCGCCCCCCGACCAUCCAUUCAUGCCCCGCCGACCUCCAGAUCGGGCGCAAGCAGCUCCUGCACCCCACACCCCUAUGAUAGACACCGAUGCGCCGCUUCCCCGGGGAACACGCGGACUAGGUGCUCCGCACGCCUAAGCGGGUGCUGCUUCUUUUAAUUGCGGUUCGACUGACCCUGAAUUGAAAUCCAGGUGGGCUACUGACCUCUAGCAAAGGUGAAAUACUAAAAGGGAGGAAACCUUGUGCAUUUAGUAUCACGAAGAAGAUGCAGUAAGAAGCGCUCAACUAGUUUCUUUCAUGGGAUGAAUACGGUGUGAGUGGAGACGUAAGAUUUGCACUAAUAAGGGAAGAGGAGUACCUCUUUCUGCUGGCAGUGCUGUGUCCUCCUUCUGUUUUUCCGAUGAUCUUCUUGUUGUUCGCCGGAAACCAGAAGUUGUGGAGGAUGGUGCAGCCUUGGACGAACCCAUGGCCAAGUUGUUGAGUGUGGUGCUGUGGCCGUCUGUCGGCGGCGAGGAAGCAGAUCCGAGGCGGUGAACGACGGCAUAGCGGGAACAACUCCAGUGCGAUGGACGGUUGCGACAGUGGAGCCGCAAAAGUGAUGCGCAGGACGGCGUGGUCGGAGUGGUUCUGGUACGGCGCACAUCGGUGUCGGCGUUGUGGAGGCAGCUCUACCUUGGCUUCAGCUGCUAAGUCCUUGAGGGCGUUGCGGUUGUGGUUGCGUUGGACGACGACGUCGGGGUACCGGCCCCGACGUGAUGGAGGAGGGCGGCGGUGGAUUGGCCGCUAUGGGGUGGAGGAUGGAGGAGGCUGGGGUUUCACGGCUGGUGGAGAGGGCGUUUUCGCGCCCACGGAGUAUGAAUGGGGAAACGGAGGGAGGCGGGGAACUAAGGAGGAACAAUGUUUCGGUUUGAGACGCGCUUGUUUGAAAUUUGGGGAAAGUUACAAACUUUGCCCCCAUCUAAAAUUUCAGACAUAUUGCGGGUUGGGGGUAGGACAGUCAUGUCAGGUGUCCCAAAUGUGGGCGGGAUAGAUUUUGGCCGAGCACAUGGGUGUUUAGGCUCCCACGACGUAUGAAUGCUUCUCGGAGGCGGUUGAGACUGGCGUCUUGGUGAAGUUACAAACCUACCCCGGUUUAAACCUUUGGACAUCGGGCCGAUAGGCUACACGGGCCAGAGUGAGGACAAUAAUUUCCUACCACCAAACAUUGGUCUCGCGUGGUUUCGGGUGACCAUAGGCCUAUUUGGCGCUUCGUUCAAUAUUUGGGAGCAGAAGCAUUAACGUUUUCGGUUCUCUUGAAUUGAACUUUCAGGAUUUGUCAAACUUCACAAAUCUUUACUCUUGAAAAUCCUAAAGCUACGAUUAUUUCGGAAUGGAGGGUGUACAUUUGAAUAUACAUUAUACACGAUUAUAUAUUAAAAAAUAUGCAACUUACAACAAAGAUUGCAAAAGAUAAAAAGAUUCCAGAUAUAAUCUCCUUGGUUGCAAAAAAUAAAAAGUUAGAUAUGCAUAUGAAUAUAUAUAGCAUGUUCAAACUCACAACAAAGAUUGAUGCCCUCUUUUACAUCUGAUUUACGAAUGCCAUUAUCUCGGGUUCAAAUAGAUGAAUGCACUUCCUAUGAAUUCGAAUCUUCAAAACCCCCUUUAUGUUGAAUUCAACAUGUAUUCUAUUUCGUAGCUAGCAAUUUGGAAUGUAUCCAUGCAAGUGACAAAUGUAUAAAGUGCUUCACACGAACAACAUGGAGUGCACUAAUUAAUGUUUAUAUAUGAAUUGCAAACGCAUCCAUUGCCUAUAUUUCAAACCGCUCUCACUCUAUGGAUCGAUGAUAUGAAAUAAACACAUGCACAUGCUAGAAUUCAAUAGAGUAUGGGUGUCUGAUAGACCGAUUUUUGUCCAUACACAAUUUGCAAAAUUCAUGAUCUCAUCCAAAAAUAAUAAUGCCAUUUAUAUUUUAAUUUAAUGCGUAGAACCGCCUUUUACAGGUAGAUGCACUAUGCCUCGCCUUGUUCUCACAAAUGCGUUAUAUAUCUCUCUAUCUAACGCAUAAGUGCACUCACUUUAUAUGCAUCGGCAUUUCUCUUUCACACAUUCUCACAAUCUCUCUCAGGGUGUCGAGGUGUCUCACACACAUGCUCUCUCUGUUUCUCUCUCUCUUUCUGACUACUAUGUACCACUCUUUUCACUGAUCUCAGUUGGAAAACACUAUUUCUCUCGCAUGCAUAUAUACACACACACGGUCUCUACUAGCACUCUAUACGCACAUAUAUGUGCCUACGUGUCUCCCACACGCACAUUAUCUUUAGGCCUCUCUCGCACACAUCCCCCCCGACACACCUCUCUCUUAGUAGUUGGUAGAUAUGAUUUCAUCAUAUCAUUCGGUAGGAUAUCCCUGGCUGUUAGGCUGGAUGGUAAUACGAGGCAAAGUUUUACCCUAGUUCAGAUCGGACCCUUGCAGUUGAAGAAAGAGCCUACUCCUGGUACUGUAUAUUAGUGAUAGGGGUGUGUACAAAGUACACGUGAAUACCAGACAUUGUGCGUGUGUGUAUACUAUCGACGAACUAGCCCCCAAGCUUGUAUAACAUACUAAGGGCCUAGGGUUACAAAUCAUAUAUAGUCGGCUUAUCACCAGCGGGGAUAGAGUCCUCCGCGGCUCUGGUAGCUUCGUGUUGUACGCCGAGUCCUCCACAUGGGUCUUCGUAUAACACGUCUCGGUCCAACCUAUAUGUGGUGCAGGAUGGAACCGACCCAUGAGUCUUCAUGUUGACCCACCUCAACUAGAAAUGAUGUGCCCACCACACCACACACGCGAUCGACCACUAAGAAAAUAAGCAUAUACAAUAGUACAACGGUAUCUAGCUCACGAUACGUCUCCAUAUUUUGUUGAUGACACUGACGGACUUUGCAUUUGAUGCGUGCUCCAUAUUUUGUUGACGACACUUACAGUCAUUGUAUUUGAAGCGAAAGCACGAUAUGGUCACUGGACUUCAGAAUAAGCUCAUUACGGUCACCACAUACAUUUUGUCGUGCUAACCAACAUGUGGUUGGAUGGUUGGGAGGACAGUGGUUUCUCGAGCCCACCAAGGUUAAAGUCCUGGUGCUCACAUUUAUCUUGUGUUAAUUUCAGUAUUUUCCGACGAUGCACGUUCAGUGGGAGGAGACGUUCCACUCGACUACGAGGCACCUAUGGUGACUUUCUAAAAUCUCAAGAUCAUAUAUGCUGGCUCACUCUCUCGAAGGUGCUCAUAGGGGUAGGGUUCGCGUGUGUGCGCUUAUAGCGGUGAGUGCUUGCGCGUAUAUAUGAGCCCUUGUGUCUGUACCGUGUUAAACAAAUACAUGUCAUGAUUAUACGGUCACUGGCUCACCCGUACAACUCCGUAUUUUGUUGAUGACACAAUCAAUUAACCAGUCAAACAUUCCACGCGGCGCAACUAGUGUUGCACCAUCGGGGCACGUAACCGUGGGGCCCACCUGUCAGCCCGUAUAUCAAAGAAAGAAAUGGUAGUUUGAGUCUGUACUGUGUUAAUAAAAUAGGAGUACAUUUUAGGGGGAUCAUGCAUACGGUCACUGGCUCACCAUACAACUCCGUAAUUUGUUGAUAACACGAUCAAUUGACUAGUCAAACGGUCCACAUUCAGCAGCGCACAUUACCAUAGGGCCCACCCGUCAGCGUGUAUAUGAAGGAUAGAAAUGGUAAUAAAUUAGUGGUCGGUGGGNNNNNNNNNNNNNNNNNNNNNNNNNNNNNNNNNNNNNNNNNNNNNNNNNNNNNNNNNNNNNNNNNNNNNNNNNNNNNNNNNNNNNNNNNNNNNNNNNNNNNNNNNNNNNNNNNNNNNNNNNNNNNNNNNNNNNNNNNNNNNNNNNNNNNNNNNNNNNNNNNNNNNNNNNNNNNNNNNNNNNNNNNNNNNNNNNNNNNNNNNNNNNNNNNNNNNNNNNNNNNNNNNNNNNNNNNNNNNNNNNNNNNNNNNNNNNNNNNNNNNNNNNNNNNNNNNNNNNNNNNNNNNNNNNNNNNNNNNNNNNNNNNNNNNNNNNNNNNNNNNNNNNNNNNNNNNNNNNNNNNNNNNNNNNNNNNNNNNNNNNNNNNNNNNNNNNNNNNNNNNNNNNNNNNNNNNNNNNNNNNNNNNNNNNNNNNNNNNNNNNNNNNNNNNNNNNNNNNNNNNNNNNNNNNNNNNNNNNNNNNNNNNNNNNNNNNNNNNNNNNNNNNNNNNNNNNNNNNNNNNNNNNNNNNNNNNNNNNNACUGGAGGCCCCUGAUUUCGUAUCCAACGGCUGGAAAAUCUAAUGACCGGAGAUGAAAAAGUCAGUCGACUGACGUGUAGCCUCACCCCGCACGUACACAUGCACGCACGCAAGACACUCAUGCAGGCAGGCGUGCAACACUGACACGUACACAUAACGUACACAUGCACGCACGCAAGACAUGCACGCAUGCAGGCGUGCAACACUGACACAUACACACGCACGCAUGCUGGCAUGCAACAUUGACACAUACACAUGCACUCAUGAACACACGCACGUACGCACCCAUGCAUGCAACACUAAAACGUACCCUUGCAUGCACGCAACACUCGCACGCCUGCAUGCAGACAUCACACGACACAAGACACACACUCAACCUAUACGUGCAUGCACCCUUUGUUAAGGACAUGGAUUGUUAUGGGUAUUAAUCAAUCUUAUCUGUGAGAAGCAGAACAUUGAUGUUUGCAGCGGUCUUUAUGAAUCACAACAUAUCGAACGGGCUAUCAACAUAGUAGGCUCAUCUACAUGAAAAAGAUGACAUCACACUCAAUGAACAAUCAUCGGUUUAUGAAAUGCCCUCUUCUGACCGCCCUGGCCCACCAAAGGUUCCUCUAGUGUGCACUGCCUACGUUGGGUCACUGACAUGCAGGCCAUGCACCCAAAGAGCCCACACGUCAGUGGAAGAACAACGCGGUGUCCUAGGUCAGAGUCGAGGGUGCCACUCGCUGCACGCACGGCUGAACACGCCUCCGUGCCGCAUUCAAACGCCUCCAUGAAACCCGCCCGUGUGGAAGCCGAGAAACCCACUCUGGACACACGUCCGUUCAUGAUCGGGCUGGCGUUAAACGCAACAACGUCCGAGCUCCUCCCGUCCACCGUCUAUUUAAUCUCCUAUUUAAAUGAGGCCAAACACCAGCCAAGAAUCGCACACCUCCGCCGCUCCCCUAUCUCCUCCACAAUUUUGUCCACUCUUACAAUGGCUUACGAAGAGUAGUUAUUCCGCAUCCAAGCCGGCUGGGUAGCCCACCGGAUACGAGCUAUGCAGCUCGCUGAUCCACCUCCCUCCCCUCGCCCGACGGAGCCAGUUGUCGCCCCAAGCCGGCGCGCGCUUCAGCAACUCGCUGCUCCAGGCCAGCUCGACGAGGACCGGCGCACGGGCGUCGUUGCUGCCAUCCACGCCGCCGCCUCAUACCGCGUCUCCCGUUUCUGUGGCCGAGACUCCCAUGCCGGCAGCCGCGCCAUGCAAGCAGUGACAGAAGCCGGGUGCAUGGAGAGCGACGAGUCGGUGUCUAGCGCCUCCGCGUCCGCCGCCAUCAUCAAGGAGAAGUAGAACACGGGAGGCCACCGCCGCUUAGGUCCCAUGAAGGCCACCGCGGAGGUGACGCCGGCGUACACAACAGAUGUCUUACCGGAUCCUUUUGUUGAGAGGACCUCCGUCGACCCCGCAUGGGCUCCACGGAAGAGGGGAAUGUGAGGAUGAACUCGAGCCGGUGCCGGCCAUGGCGAAGUAGUGGCCGGUGAUGAACUCGAACCGGUGCCGUCCACCAUCAUCUUUGGCACCAGCCAAUGAUAUCAGUUGGGCAGUGGGGAAGCGAGCCAUCCUUUGCGCUGAAGCAUAUACCUCCGGGGCUCCCAGCAGUCCGGUGAUCGUGCUGCCGGACAUGAGGAACACAAAUCGACCGGCGGGCGACCAUUUAGGCCAGGUAUUAUAUACCUAUGUUGUCCAGAACUAGCACUGCGUAGUUCAUUUGAAUGUAAUGAAUCCGUCAUGUUUGUAUGAAAAUCCGGUAUUUUAUAUGAUUUCCGUCGUUGUUUAUAUGAAAUAUCAGUUUGUCUAUGUGUUUGCGUGAAUUUUGUCCGGUUGGAUGGUGUAAUUUGUGGGUCGCCGGUCGGUCUGCGGGCGGCUCGGGCGGCGUUGUGGGACAAAAAAACACAGCUCAUGCAAGCUCGUCUCCAACGUGCACGCUGGAGGAUGCAUGACAGCAUGAGCACCCGAGCCAUUCCUCGUUCAUCGGUGGCAAAGUCACCGGUGGACAAAAGGGUCGCCAUUAUUUUGGCUACCCCGUGCAAGAUCCAAACAACCCCUCCCAACAGAUUCAAAUCCCUUGUUCGCUGUGGAAUUUUUCCAUGUGUUGUUUUCAUGGACUAGCAAGAUGCCCGUGCAUUGCACGGAACAUCAAGAUGCAUUUUUUUACAAACUCCCACAUGCAUGCAAGGGAUAAUUAAUGUCCUCCUUUGCUAGUACCACGAGGCAAACACCAUUAAUAUUGCAUCGGUUAGUGUUAGUGGCCUUGUAUAUCUACAAAUUGUACUCCCUCCUUUCAGAAUUACUUGUCGAAGAAAUGAAUGUAUCUAGAUGUAUUUUAGUUGUAGAUACAUCCAUUUUUGUGACAAGUAAUUCUGAACGGAGGGAGUAAUUUUGAUAGUGGCCCCUUGUAUACAAAAAUGGAGGGAGAAAGAUGAGAGAUAAGGUGAGGAGGAGUGGGGCAUGGUGGUGACUGGUGGUCGGACUGGGCGGAGGCAUGGGGAUGGACGGCGCAUUAUGUCUAGGUUUGUAUCUCUCACACACACACUACGUAGGUGGGGGACGUGCACGAAGAGAAGAGGUGCACGCACGGUGCACAUACUCCUGUCUCUUUCCCAACCACACCCGCGCAGGUACACGGUGGAGCUCAUUUCUGUACGAAAAAGGCAGCCCACGUGGUAAUUUGGCACGUGUACUGGUUGUCCACUUGGUGGAGGGAGGAUCAUCUACCAUGGGUGAACAAACAAAUUGCGACUUGACGUGUUAUGUUAAAAAAAGAGGCAAACCAUGUGGGGCCUACCUUAGAGGCAAGGCUCUAUACACUGGAGUAAUUUUGAUGUGUCCCAUCAACUCGUAGAACGAGGAGAAGCUUGCUUAGUACACCGUCUCCCCCGCCCACGGGCGCGGUGGCUUGCAGGAUGAAGUGAAGCUUUCUUACGAGUAGUAGUAGUAGUACUCCUACUACUGUACGCCUUACGUUCGCUCCCUCGCCCACGCGCAUGGUAGCUUGCAGCACGAGGAGAAAAUUUUAGUACUACUCCCACUAAAUUUCCAUAAACUUGUACAUGCAUUGGUUAGUUUCCUCUUGACACUACUUGCGUCGGGUGAUCUAACGCACCUCGAAAUCCAACAUGUAAUGGUACUACUACUAGUAUAGUAGAAUUGAGACUUAUCAAACGGAAAAACGAAUGUUUUUUAGAUGAGCCCUAUAAACCCUAGUGGGUACGUACUCCGUAAAAACAGAUUUUUCCAAAACUAAGUCGCUCCCUUUCAUGAAUUUUGUAGUAUACUCCUCCAUCGACGCUCCCUUUCAUGAAUUCUGUACUUCCUAUCACCGACAUGUGGGACAUAUAGCAACCGGGUCGACGUGUCAAGCACCAAAUAACAGUGCAGAACAGCAGGGGGGACGCACCCCACUCGUACCGGCCCAGUAGUAGUAAUGAGCAAUGAGACGUCAAAUCACAAUGCCACACCUUCCCAGACGGACGAAGCAACCAUUAUUUCACACUUCGGUUCACCAUCAUCUCAAACGACGUAGUAUUGCUUCUGCCUCAAGAGGGACACGCGCAUCGCCUUAGUACAUCAUGACACAUGGGACCGCAUGACAUGCCAUGCUCCCCCGCCGAUCGCUCGGUAAAAUCACCUCAUUUUUACUAUACUUCCUCCGUAUCGGUUUACUACAUGGCACGCACGUCAUUCUAGGUUGAGAAUUUAACUGGCUAUAUAUGUGAUGAAUAGUACUCCAGCCUUUUAAAAAAUGUAUACUUUUGUACAGUAGUACUAUCGAUGGAUUGCGCCAUGGAGCAAAAAUUGAAAUUAAAAAAAAAGCUGGUACAUACAGAGAGCGCUCGUCGCCAAAUUAUGCAUAUAGUACUAUUAAAAAAGCUAGUACAUGCUUAAUUGGGGUGCUAAAUUCUAUUAAAGAAAUACUAGUAGUAUGUAUCAUACUGAGGAGUUAAAGUAAUGAGAAGAAACAUAACAUAGUUCUGCUGGGGCUCAGCACAACACACCCCUCAAAUUCAACUAAGCACACCUGAAAUUAAACUAUGCAACUAAUCCGAUAGACACUACAUUAGAACCACCAUGAGCAACGAUACUAACACCUUACUCACUCGGAGGAGUCCUUGUCCAUGUCCUCGACUUCGUCCUUGUCCCUCUUCCUCUUGGCCGAUACUUCUUGCUUGAACCGCACGCUUGGCUCUUGCUCUUCAUCCAACCCUUGUAGAUAUUGAAACGAAGGUAGCCAUCCAUUGCAGCGUAGUGGAUGUGGUCUAUAUCUAGUACAUUCUGCUGCCAUGCAUGACGAUGAAACGUGUAAUGAGGUUUCUCCAGUUUACCGUACGAAGGAUGAACCAUGGCUGCUGCCAAGGUCAGCAUUCAAGGCUGGCCACCAGAGGGCAGCAGUCGAUUCUUCUGGAGGUCGAAGGGGUUGCCUACAACGAGGCCUAUCCGACGCAGGACUUCUUUGUCGUUACCAAAGUCUACAGUAACAAGUUUGACUAGGUUGCUCUCGAGGAAGUUCUUAAAAUCCAGGCAUUCAACAUUGGCAUGGCAUAUGUGGUAGACCAAGCAUAACUCAUGCACGCAAACCUAGAUCAUGGCGGGCUUCUUCCUCUCUUCGUCCUUUGGAUCCUUCUCUCGUCCCAGGACUGUGGUGUACUCAACAUCUAGCCCAGGGACCCGCUCAUCAUCUGAGUCUUCGAACAUGCGUCUGAAGCGAGAAAGGCAUCCUUUCACCGUCACGGGAGAACAGGUGUAGAUGACGUCGAACUCAUCGCCGGUGAUGGUUCUAACCUUGUACUCACCACCGAUCAUGGAGAUUUGGGAUGCCAUGGAUUUUGGAGGAGGGUUAGGAUUAGUGGAACUGCCGUAAUGUGAAUGGAUGGGACGACUAGGAGCGAACCGCCGUAGUAUUGAAGGACAUGCGGGGACGAGUAGGAGAGAACUACCAGCGUGCGGACGGCAGGGUAGUGGCUUUCCAUUCUCCCAUGAUACGGGCUUCUGAGAGCCCUUGGAUCUGAGAUCGAACGGUUGCAUGGCGUGAUUCUAGACCUAUGGGUUUAUAUCCUAUCCUGCAGGGUUAUUCUGUAAUUUUUUAGCAACUUAGCAUGCGACCGUUUGAUCUCAGAUCCAAGGGCUGCCAGCAGCCCGUAUCAUGGUCGCGCCUACCACGACUGUCGCGUCGCUCACACGGUCGUGCCCUUGGAGAUUUAACACGGUGCGUUAGGCUAUUGAUGUUGGCAUGUCAUACAUAGUCAUCACUUAGUCACUCAUACUAUAACAAGGUUAGCUAUAAGUGUAUUUUUUUACUCCUCUCUAUCUCUUUCUUCGUACUCCCUCCGUCCCAUAAUAUAAGAAUGUUUUUGACAGUAGGACACAUGGAGUACUAGUAUUUAUGGCAUUUGCCAAGGAGUGACCUCUUCCAAUGAAAUGGUGUUGCUAUGUUUGCUUCAUUUAAUUAGCUAUAGACUCAAAAUUGUCUUUUCACCUAGGUACACGCGCUUAUCACCGUUUCUUCCUUGGGUCACCAAACUAGUCUCUCUCUUCUUGAUUAACUUGCCACAUCAGACUUUAUGCCUAUGUGGCAAGCUUAGUACCUGUAGGAGCAAGUAAAAGUAUGUACAAUAGUGCGCUUUACAUGGCAUUUUUGCAUAUGUGGAGGAAAGAGAGGCAAGGAAAAAGUGGAGAAGUGGGCUCUCAUGCAAGAUCCAGCCUCUACUACAUGAUGGAGCAUUGGGAGAGGCACCUGUAUGGAGGUGGCCUGGAAUCGGGAGACUCACGCCGGUCGUAGCGUCGCAGUUAAAAUGAUAAUGGCAAGUAAAAUCAUGGGGCCCCACCUGUCCAGCAGUAACUCGCUGUCAAAUUACACAACCCUACGUUUGCAGCAGCCUACUCCCUCGUCUUCUUGUGUCUCUGUCGAACCGACUAGGUGGAACUGCCCCGCCUACCACGCAGGAAAAGCCCCGCCCUUGACUUUUAAAUACAGCUACAUCCGCUUAAGAAUCCAAUGAUAUAGUAGUACUUUUUGUGACAUAGUAACUCAUAUUUAGUUAGUCAAAUGGAUGACCUAGAACUACGUGCACGCCCUAUAAACCGAGACACCUAAAAAUAAAAAACCCAGACAGAGAGGGUAGUUUAGCAUGUAUCUUUUUAGAUUAAUAUAGUCGGGAUUCACCAAGGAUCAAAACCAAGUGGUAGGCUGCUCCUGUCGUGUUGGCGUAGCAACUCAAGCAGGGUCAGUCCGCACACGAAAUGGCGACACACUUAACAGGACCCCUUUGGCCGACAUGUGGCUCAUCCACCGUCUUGUUCCACGUGCGAUGCACCAAAUUACAGUUCGGACCAGUGGUUGGAACUGGAGGCACCUCGGUUGUACCGCCGCUGUCGUGGAUUUGUCACGGCAGAUGUCCUAGUGAAAGGACUUAGUCGUGGAGCCAUCGCCAUGGGUUUACUUGAAGGGGUUAAAACGGACACAAAGACACGAGGGUUUUUAUACUAGUUCGGCCCCUUCAAGGAAGGUAAAACCCUACGUCUAGUUGUGAUGGAAUUGAUAUGGUCUCGAUGGCUAGGGAGCAAACAAGCUUCGCCUAGGCUCGAGUUGUCGUUUUCUCUCCUGAACCACCGCCAAGUCGUCCCCUUAUAUACACGGGUGACGCCCGUCGGUCCAUAGAGUCCCAACCGGUUCAUACUCGUAUCCCGGUUGGUAUCUCUCUAUUCCUAACUUACAAUACAAGUUAUACAUCAGGUCAGUUUUCGGCUAUAGAUUCUAAACCGACUAUAGGCCUUGGGCCUUCAUUUGCUUAUACCACUAAUGAAGUUAACCCGGCCCAAGUAGGCCGGUUUACGCCUAGUGGUAAUAUCCCCAACAUUAGGCCCCAGAUUGAUUUGAACUGGUUCAUGUCAAUCCUUCACAAAAUCUUGUGUCUUGGACAUCUUCUGGUAAUUGGUAAACCGCCAUGAUGUCAUCAUUUCUGGUUGUUGUAAACCGGCAUGACGUCAUCAUGAAAUUUGUCAUUUAUAACACCCUCUUUUAACGACAGCUCCUGGUGAAUCAUCGGCCACUCAGCUGCCACCAUUAAAAACGGUUCUUGGGUAAGCUAAGCUGAACAUAUGCUUCCAGUACACUGUGUAAUGGCUUAUGCUUUUCCUUGACUCUUUGGUUUUCUUUCAGGGCCAAACCUAAAUCGAGCAAGAAAGCCCGCGUGGAUAAAGCGGCUGAAGAAGAUGUAGCCCAAGAACAUGACAAAACGCCAGAUCUUGAGGCAUUUGCUCCUGAGGAUAUUCCCAAUGAUCCUCCUUUACAAGACGAUGCUAUUCCCGAGGAGAGGCCUAUUAAUACUUCAGUCUCUGCUGACCCGCCUGUCAGCUCCGUCCGGAUUGAGAAAUCCCACAGUCCUGCUGACAAACCGAUCACACUAACACAAACCGGCGAGUCCAAAGAUGAUGAUGUUGUGAUUACCGGUGUAGGCCGCUUUGAACCCGGGAAUCCUGUCACCUUAACCAAGCAUACCAUAAAAGAGUAUUUUUCCGCUCUGAAUAAAGAAAAAUGGGAUGUUGAACUGGAGACAUAUGCUGCUCUGAGCGCCCAAGAUCUUCAUUCCGGCUAUCUAAACCGGCUUUAUACUAGCCGUGACUGUGAAGCUGGUCUGGUAAAAAUGAUGAGGGAUAAAUUUGAGGUAACUUACUUCUUUACUGCCUGCCUUUGCACCAAUCCUCCUAGCCCCCAAGGGUCGGUUUGUAGCCUUCGUCAAAUCGGGACUUGAAUAUGAUCCUCAACACUUUUGAAAUCCAUUAAUAUAGCCCCCAAGGGCCGGUUUAACUUAGCAGAAUUAGACCGGGGCUCGGACAGAAAAACUAUCCUUAGAACAUAAUUUGAUCAAAUAGCCAUUAGCCCCCAAGUGCCAAGUUGAAUACCUGUAUUGAGCUUGGGACUUCGCAAUCUAAUAACUUGAUGAAAUUUGAAGGUGCAUUAGCCCCCAAGUAUCAGGCGUAUAACUUUGUUUAUGUGGUUGAUACUUCAAUUUCAUUGGACCGUUUGUUGAAAGCUAAAUGCUGUCUGUAUGCAGGCUGAGGUGAGAAUCAAGGAAGACCGGAUUGCUGAUUUGCGGGAGGCCUUGAAAACCCAACAGGCUGAAACAAACAAGGCAAAGGAAGAACUAACUAGCGCUUUGAGCACCGCUGAACAGCUGAAGGAGGGCUUCAAGAAAGAGCGGGCUGAUUGGGCCACUGAGAAAACCGCUUUAACCAAAAGAGCGGAAAAUGCUGAAGCUGCCCUUAAACCGGUGGUGGAUGAACUUACGGCCGUAAAGCGGCAAAUACACUCCAUGACCGCUGUAAUCUUUGGUAAGCUCCUUUUAACUUCUGCGAUAAUUUGAACCUGCUGUAAUGUAAAUCCGGUUUGAGACCGUCCCUGCAACGCAUCGGACACUUAGGAAGUGAUGUGCGGAAGAAACUGAAGGCUGCCUACACCUUAUUGGAACAAUUAUAUACCGGAGCCCAGCGGAUCAUCGCCACAACCUCUCAUAACAACCCGGCACCUUCUUUAAUCCAGGAUACUCUUAACAGGUUGUCGAUGCUUCCGGCCCGGAUGGAGGAACUGAAGAAAUCUACUGCCCAAAUCGGAGCUAUUAACGCCUUGAUCCGGGCAAAGGCAUGGGUGCCAGAUUUCGACCCUGUGGAAGCAUCUCAAGGCUAUCCCAGCCUGAAGGAAGAUGGCUCUGAAUUUAACGAAGAGGAUUUAAGGGCAAUAAACCGUGCAGUGCGCCCUCUGGCUUGUCAGUUAGCUGAAGAGGCAGACCUAACGCAUUAUCAAGCAUAAUACAAUGACGAGAACAAGCGAGUGCCUGCCCCAACUCUUGAAGCGGAGAAUCUGAUCCCUCCAAUCCGUAAGCACACUUACGCUCCUGAUAUUGAACCGUCUUCCCUAAUCCAUGAAGAGGCUGUUUUCCAAGCUUUAAUGGGAAUCGACUGGACCACUGUUGAUUUCCAGCCAAUGGGUAGAGACGAGGAAGCUGAAGUGGCGGAUGAUGAGGAGCAGGCUUGAACCGGAAGCCGGUUUGGAUAGCUAUCUUUGGCAUCUUUCCAAAAGAACAAUGAUCUUAUUUGGGCACCGUGCUGCCUUGUAAUAGGAUAGUUAAUACUUCUACCUUGAAUAUGCCUUCAUGCAUAAGUACUGAAGCUUUUGUUCGAAAAAACUUCAAUUCAUAUUUCCUGCAAUCAGAAAAAUUUGAACUUCGGUGGCGGUUAUACCGCCAGCCGGUUUAUGAUCUUGAUAUGUGUAUCAGUAAUGUAACAAAUAGGUGAUAUAAAAUACCUGCCAUGUCUGGGCAUGAAGCUGGCUUAGCCAAGCUUGAAGCGGAGGUUUUAUAAACCAUUAUCGUCAAUAAGGGGGGAGAAAACGACUCCCGUAUAGAUCGUACUGAGGUAAUACAAACCCCCUUGUUACUCCAUGAUGUUAACAGAAAAAAGGUAAACCGGGCAUACUUCUCCGGAUUAAAGGGGAAUCAAAUCCAUCGGCUGAACCGGAAAAGGGUGUUUGUUGACAUAAAAGAAAUCCAACAAAAACAAAGAACAAACAAGCCAUGAAAAUAACAUGGAAGCAAAGGCAAUGAUAAAAACCGUUUGCAAAAAUAUGCUAUACUGAGCUGAUCAGAUGGUGUUACCAUGGUCGGACAGGACCAAGCCCCCAAUAGGAGUGACAAUGAUUCAAGUCAGCCAGGUCCCCAAAUGAUUCGUGGCAUAUAUGCCAGAUCAAGAGGCGUGGCAAUGGUUCGGGUUCGACCAAGCCCCCAAGUGAUUUUGUGGCCUUAGGCCGAUCAAGAGGCGUGACUGGUUCAGACGUGACCAUGUCCCCAAGUGAUCUGGUGGCUGUCGCCUAUCAAAAGGUGUCGCGUUGGUUCGGACACGACCAAGGCCCCAAGUGAUAUAUAAAAAGCAACUGUCAAGGGCAAAACCGGAGGCCGCUUUAAAAACAGAACCACUCCAUGUAACCACGCAUGAUAGGAAAGACAGAGACCCCGCUUUAGCUGAGGUUCCGGUUUUAUUAUACCAAAGAUAAUAUAUACACUGUCAUGAUAUGUACAUAGAUAGAGCCAAUGGCUCAAGUGUAGUAAGGCCGAAGAUGAGCUAUAUUCCAUGGCCUGUUGGUCUCCUCCUCUGAUGUACGUGAGUCUUUAUGCUCUCGAAUAUCAAUCAGAUAGUACGACCCGUUGUGCAAAUUCUUGCUGACCACGAAAGGUCCCUCCCAAGGUGGGGAUAACUUGUGCAUAUCCGUCUGGUCUUGAAUGAAUCGAAGCACCAAAUCUCCUUCUUGAAAAGUUCUGGUUCUAACCCGGCGACUGUGAUAGCGACGAAGAUCUUGCUGGUAAAUCGCCGAACGGGCAGCCGCUAUAUCACGCUCCUCGUCUAAUAGGUCCAAAGCGUGUUGCCGUUUUGUCUCAUUGUCCACUUCAACAUAAGCUGCCACACGAGGCGAAUCGUGCCGGAUAUCACUAGGGAGAACUGCCUCUGCUCCAUAGACCAUGAAAAAUGGUGUGUAUCCUGUGGACCGGUUUGGCGUAGUAUUGAUACUCCAUAACACAGAUGGUAGCUCUUCAACCCAACAUCCUGGUGUUCUUUGCAAUGGGACCAUAAGCCGGGGUUUGAUGCCUCGCAAGAUUUCCUGAUUAGCUCGUUCUGCCUGUCCAUUGGACUGGGGGUGUGCCACUGACGAUACGUCAAGUCGGAUGUGCUCACGUUCGUAGAACUCCUUCAUAGCGCCCUUGGAUAAAUUGGUACCAUUGUCAGUAAUGAUACUGUGUGGAAAACCAAACCGGAAAAUCACCUUUUUGAUGAACUGCACCGCUGUUGCUGCAUCACACUUGCUGACAGGCUCCGCUUCAACCCACUUGGUAAAUUUGUCAAGUGCCACCAAAAGGUGGGUUUUCUUAUCCUUGGAUCUUUUAAAAGGUCCGACCAUAUCCAGCCCCCAAGUUGCAAACGACCACGUUAUUGGGAUCAUCCUCAAUUCUUGAGCCGGCACAUGAGCACGCCUUGAAAAUUUCUGACAUCCAUCACACCGUUUAACCAAGUCCUCCGCGUCAGCAUGCGCUGUCAACUAGUAGAACCCGUGACGAAACGCCUUCGCCACCAGAGACUUUGAACCGGCGUGAUGUCCACAAUCCCCUUCAUGGAUUUCUCUUAAUAUUUCACAGCCUUCCUCAGGAGAAACACAACGUUGAAACGCCCCUGAUACACUGCAAUGAUGCAAUUCACCAUUGACAAUCGUCAUAGACUUGGAUCGCCGGACUAUCUGCCUGGCUAGAAUCUCAUCCUCUGGUAACUCCCCCCCGGUUCAUGUACGUAAGAUAAGGAACUGUCCAAUCCGGAAUAGCAUGCAGUGCCGCCACCAAUUGAGCCUCUGGAUCAGGAAUAGCCAAGUCCGCUUCACCUGGGAGCUGGACUGACGGGCUGUGCAACACGUCCAGAAAGACAUUAGGCGGGACCGGUUUGCGCUGAGAACCCAACCGGCUUAAAGCGUCCGCUGCUUCAUUCUUCCGACGGUCCACAUGAUCCACUUGAUAACCCUUGAAACAACCCGCAAUAUUAUCCACCUCCCGACGAUAUGCAGCCAUGAGCGGGUCCUUAGAAUCCCAAGUGCCAGACACCUGUUGAGCCACGAGGUCCGAGUCACCGAAGCACUUAACCCGGCUUAAGUUCAUCUCUUUAGCCAUCCGGAGACCAUGGAGCAAGGCUUCGUACUCAGCUGCAUUAUUAGUACAAGGGAACAUUAAGCGGAGAACAUAACAAAACUUAUCACCUCGUGAGGAAGUUAAUACGACUCCAGCCCCCGAGCCUUCCAGUUGCCUGGAUCUGUCAAAAUGAAUAGUCCAAUAUGUGUGAUCCGGCUUCUCCUCUGGUGCUUGUAACUCUGUCCAAUCAUUGAUGAAAUCAACAAGUGCCUGAGACUUCACUGCCGUCCGAGGUACAUACUUCAGUCCGUGUGGCCCAAGCUCUAUAGUCCACUUAGCAAUCCGGCCAGUCGCCUCCCGGUUCUGUAUGAUGUCACCCAAGGGAGCUGAACUGACCACUGUGAUGGGGUGCCCUUGAAAAUACUGCUUCAACUUCCGACUGGCCAUGAAAACACCAUAGACCAGCUUCUGCCAAUGCGGAUACCUUUGCUUGGAUUCAAUAAGCACCUCGCUGAUAUAAUAAACCGGCCGCUGAACCGGAUACUCUUUGCCUGCCUCCUUGCGUUCCACCACAAUAGCCACGCUAACUGCCCGAGCAUUGGCUGCUACGUAUAAUAAUAGUGGCUCCUUGUCGACCGGAGCUGCAAGAACAGGCGGAUUGGCUAACUACCGCUUCAAGUCCUCGAAUGCUUCAUCAGCAGUCGGACUCCAAAUGAAAUGGUCUGUCUUCCUCAGCAUUUGGUACAAAGGAAUGGCCUUUUCUCCGAGGCGGCUGAUAAACCGGCUUAGUGCGGCGAUUCGGCCCGCCAAGCGCUGAACAUCAUUGAUGCACUUCGGUUUAGCCAGGGAGGUGAUAGCUGUAAUCUUCUCCGGAUUAGCCUCAAUUCCUCUAUUAGACACCAGGAAACCUAGUAACUUGCCUGUCGGAACACCAAAGACACACUUGGCCGGAUUAAGCAUCAUCUUGUAAACCCGCAAGUUGUCAAAGGUUUCCUUCAAGUCAUCCACCAGCGUCUCCUUCUGCCUUGACUUUACUACAAUAUCAUCCACAUAGGCGUGCACAUUGCGGCCGAUCUGUUUAUGCAGGCAAUUCUGUACACACCGUUGAUAGGUGGCUUGGGCAUUCUUGAGUCCGAAGGGCAUAGAUACAUAGCAGAAGGCUCCAAAGGGAGUAAUAAACGCUGUUUUCUCCUGGUCCUUAACCGCCAUUUUAUUCUGAUGAUAUCCAGAGUAUGCAUCCAAAAAACUCAAACGCUCACAACCCGCCGUGGCAUCAAUGAUCUGGUCAAUGCGGGGGAGGGCAAAAGGAUCCGCUAGACAGGCCCUGUUAAGAUCUGUGUAAUCCACACACAUACGCCAAGUGCCAUUUUUCUUAAGAACCAGCACCGGAUUAGCAAGCCACUCUGGAUGGAACACCUCAAUGAUAAAACCAGCUGCCAAAAGCCUAGCCACUUCCUCUCCAAUGGCCUUUCGCCUUUCUUCGUUAAACCGGCGAAGGAAUUGCUUCACCGGUUUAUACCUAGGAUCCACAUUAAGAGUGUGCUCAGCGAGUUCCCUCGGUACACCUGGCAUGUCGGAUGGUUUCCAUGCGAAGAUGUCCCGAUUCUCACGGAUGAACUCGAUGAGCGCGCUUUCCUAUUUGGGAUCCAAAUUGGCACUAACAGUGAACUGCUUGGACGAAUCACCGGGCACGAAGUCAACAAGCUUGGUCUCAGCUGCCGAUUUGAACUUCAGAUCCGAAUCAUGCUCUGUAGUUGGCUUCUUCAAAGGAGUCAUAUCCGCUGGAUCAACAUUGUCCUUAUAGUACUUCAACUCCUCCGUGGCAUAGACCGACUCUGCAUAAGCCGCAUCACCUUCCUCACAUUCCAAAGCGACCCUACGGCUCCCAUGAACCGUUAUUGUC